CGGGAGCCCCCACCCAGGCGCAUGGCUCCAUGAAGCAAGAGGAGGAGGCAGAGCGCGAGAGGUCCCGUCCGCCCCAGCCGCGUCUGGGCCAGGAUAAAAGCAAAACCAUAUUCCUGCUGCUGUCAGUUAUGAUGCACUGAGAAAACUUCAGAGACCUAAACUUUUUCCAGAGAAGAGAAGCUUUACUGGUGUUCCAGCCCUAAGCAACCAUCUUUCCUGUGAAAAAUUCCCUCUCGUACUUUAGUUCUGUGGAUCCAAAAUUUAUAGCAUUCUUCUACCACCACAGGGGCUCAUAUGACAUUAACAGACAAGACACUUUUCAGAAAGACAGGCAACGUGUUGGACCUUCCGGAGCUUCUCAGAAGACAGAGGGUUUUCUUUUGAGGUAAAUUUGAUAGUACAUUUUGAUAGUACGGGAGGCGAUACGGCAUGGUGACAGAAAAGCGCCGGCUUGGUUAGCAGGACCACCUGGCAGGGCUGCAGGCUGUGCCACUUACCAGGCAGGGGACCUUGGGCCAGCUGCUUGGCCUCACUCACCCUGUUUCUCAGCUGCAAUUGGGAUGAACAGACUGCCUGCUUCGGGGUUGCCUAAAACUCACAUUGGUUAAUGAUGUGAAAUGCUUAGCGCAGUGCCUGGCAUAGAGAGAAUUCUCAUUAGAUGAUACCUCAGCUGGGCUUUAGGAGCUACAGAAGAAGCUGCAUCUCCAUGAGCUCAGCGUGUUUCUAGCUUUCCUUUUUGUUUUCUAUUCAACCUUUCACCCAACUCAGCUUCUCAAUCCCUAAAUGACAAAGGUUUGGGAAGGAAGACUUGGACCGAGGCUUGCAUUUGUUUCUGAGAAUUAAACGUUAUGUUUUCUUCAAUCUAAA
rnacentral:lncRNA from 1 species